GGACAUUUUCCCUGCUUAGGCAGCCACAGCACAGAGAUAGAAUUAGUCACAAGAUUAGUCCAGCUUAAAUAAGCAGAAGUCAAGUUAGUGCUUCACAGAUUGGUCUUUUAGCAGAUGCUCUGCCCUUUCGAGGAAUGCAAGGGGCAAAUGUGAGCUCUUAAGGAUAUUUUACAUUUGCGCAAUGAAGUUACGCUGUUCAAAAAACUUUCUCGUCUUUCUGCCUUUGUGCAACCUAAUUUCUCUUACCAGAAACCUGAGGCUCCAAAGUUCUGGAGGCCGGAAGUCCAGGGUCAAGGUGACAGUGGAUUCGUUUCCUGGUGAGGACCCUCUUCCUGGUUUGUACAUGUGAUUCCUAGCAGUCUCCAUUUUGAAGUUCUCUUCUCCUUUGACCAAGCGUCCAGCACAUCCUCACAACACUCCAAAGCCACCUUGAAGACUCUCUUCAAAGCAGUUCUUACUGUUGAUACCACCACCAUUGUUCCGACACAUGAAGCAGGAGGACCCAAGGCCAGAGGUCAUGGUGGAGAGAUGAGCAGAUAGUCCUCAAAGGCAGACAGGGCUGGGGUUGGAGAGGAAUUCCCUAAUAGCUGUUAUAAAUGGAGAUAUGACAGGUGUGAACAAACAACCUAGGACUGGAAGAAAGAAGAGGGAGGAGUCGGGUAGAGAUAGUACUUGGAGUGGAUGCCCAGGCUGUGUAGUGACAUAAAGGGG
rnacentral:lncRNA from 1 species